UGCACUGCACCGGUUUAACCGGUGCAGUAUUAUUCGCAAACUUAGCGAAUCAUGCAUCCCGCAAAUGGAACCCCAAAAACAUGCUUUGGGGCUUGCUCUUCCCAUCUCGGCCCACCAAAGUAUGAGGCAGGCAGGAUGCGGCCUUGAAAAUCAAAGCUUCAAUGUUUCGAUGGAUCAGGUCGUGAAUUUGAUUCCGGAGACAAUCUAUUGUUGCUGAUAGCAGAACGCACCAUACGAAAUAACAACAUUUGAAUCAUACGUUUCAAGCCCAAGACUCGAUUACAGGUUGUUCUGCCUGGGCAUGCGUGUCGCGUGCUGCGAAUUUGAAUGCUGAGCGAAAAAUGCAGAAAUGCUGAUGCCCUUCCGUAAUCUAUUUUUACAGUCAAAUUCUACUGCACUAUCACCAGAUCUCAUUCUACCUUGUAACAGCAAGGUAGGCGCCAGCUAAGCGUUGCCUCAUGAAGGGGACUAGCAUACAUAAGACUAAGCAUACAUAAUCCGCCUGUCGACUCCUCGGGUGUUCGAGGAGUGUUGAAAUGGGAGGUGGCCCCCCAUGUUAUGGACGGUGUAGGACGUGAUGAUAUCACCUUGCGAGCUGACCAGGAACUAAGUUGAGGCGCCGUUGAUCCGUAUGGAUGCUGGUGGUGAGUUGCUGAUCCCCCAACGAAUACACUCUGAAGUCGGACGUGUGAACGGAUUAGGGUGCCCCUCUCGCAGGGGAGAGCAGGGAACUGCCUCCAAGGGAAAGGGGGCCGCUGGUGAAGCUUAACCAACCUGUAACAACAUACAUGAGAUCUCGUUCUCCCUGACCGUGGCUCCACAUCCUUUUCCUGACUGGAACUCUGCCGCCAGGGAGCUCCGCGGGUCACCGCAACCAGCUGGGCUCGAUUAACAAAUUGAUCUCCUUACACCGCCACAGCUCUGGCGAGCCGGGACGAGCAAGGACGAGCGAUGGAGCAGCUGCCUCAACAGCCUUCCUCAACCUCCCAUAAUCCCCCCCCCUCACACAUUCUAGAAACCUUAUAAGCCCUUAAUGAGCCCACACCGUGAGGUUCCAUGAGUAAACUCACAGACCCUCCUCCAGGUUGGCCAUACCAGUUCCACUCCAGCCGAGAGUGAGCUGCUGGGUUGGCGAGAUGUGCGCUACACGGCCAUCGACCUGCCUUAGGUCAAAACACCCAAGACCUUCAAGGCAUAGGAGGGGCAUAUGGCGCCCGAGCUCUCACCAUUGCGCGAUGUGUGUGUGUGUGUGUGUGUUACAUGGUCGUGGGUGCGUUCCCCGUACCUGCAAACCGCCCUAAUACGAUUUAAGGGCUCAAGGGCUGCCAGAUCGCCUAUAAGCACCAUCCUACCUCGCACUUCAAACAAAGCAAGUAAUAAAGGAUACUAACGACCAAAGGGAACGAUAGAGACCAUUUACGUUCCAGCAUCCUUGCCAGGCGUUCAGGUUCUCACUUCAUAGCGUCCUUCAUGUGCACGAAUCACAACCAUAAUAAGAGCGCGAACUCUGUUGUAUGGGAAAUCCAUUUCACAUCUGAUUUUGUCGUACACCGGACAGCCCAGCAAAAUGUGUUUUUCAUCCUCGAUAUGGCUAUCGGUGCCGCAGCAGGGGCAUACUCGCUCCUCUCUAGGUAUAUAACGCCGUCCCUUACGCGCUCUGUUAGCCGCCAGUGCCCAACAGCAAAGCCUUAACUGCAUAAGCUUGCGGUUCGCUGAAAAUGGAUAAGCAUUGUGAUAUGCGGGAGCACCUCCUUAUACUUCGCCAUGUGAAUUCCUGGUUGCUUGGCGUCUGACGGGUACACGUCUGGCUGGACAUCUAGACUCGUAUGCUUCCAACCCCUGACCAAUCGGUAAUUGCACUCUAAUACCACACCUUCUGUCAGUGGCCUGUUCAUCAGCCACUCCACUCGUUCGUCUACCUCGUGUAGCCCUUGCGGGGCCUCUUUCCACACGUCGUGCCCCAGAAAACAUAGAAAACGGAGGAGGAGUGUCCCACAUCCGGCCCCUUCAGGGUUGGAGAGGGACUCUGCGACCUCCUAUGCGAUGUAACGCACACCGUGUUGUAACGCACGCCCCGAUGUAACGCACACCGGGGCCAAUCCACGCGCUCGCCUGCUGCCGUCGGUCGGUCGGCCCCACGACCCGUGCAACUUUUCCGAAUGUGUGCGUAUGUUCACAGCGAGCGGGUGAAUGUGUACGUGUUUGCAUUGCGGGUGGCGCAGCAGGGCGUGCGGAUGUGUGGUGCACCGCAUGUCGCAAUUCGGGGCGCCAGCAUUGUUGUUCAUCGCGUCUAUUUGGAGGGUAAGAAGGGGCAUCAAAAGAGAGCGAACAGGCUCAAUCCGAACCGUUUUCGCUUUUACAUGCUCCGCGAAGUCGCAGAGGCCGUUGAUGCCAUGCGCUGCAGGAAUUGUGAGACCCUCGCAGCCUGGUCGACAACCGCAGUGUCUUCACAUGAGAUAUGGUUGCACGGCAAAUAAAUAAUUUAACCAUCAUCGCAAAAUAAGGGCCAUGAUUUUGCAGGGACCCGCGUGCCAUGCCAGAGGAGUGGUGUAGGAAUUGCCCUACAUGCAAGCUCUUGCUGCAAAACUUCUUUCAUAAUGUAGAGUCAAGCGUGUGAAUUCAGUCGCCUUGGCAGCGGCGUCUCGACGAUUCCGAACGGCAUCGACCGGUACGCCGCUGUCCAGAGCUCUCAGCAUAUGCCGUUUCCAUUACACAUACCACUCAUGCCAUGCACUAAAUGGUUUACGGCUCCCAGGGAUAUGUCUCCCGCUGCUCAGUGCCAACAUGCACGAGCGCAUUUACCGUUUGGAGGACUGAGAAGCAUGGCAGAAGAAUUCCAGGCUAACGAUUUGUUAUUGAAGCACCUCCGCAUCAGCAUACGCGAUUAAAAACUGAAACUUUGUUUAUGAGUAGCGACACGCUGGCGUUACACCGUCACCUUCCGGGCAUCAAAAAUAGAAGUCAUGAGAGUAACCCAAUUGCCUAGGAAGUUCGUCCGUCCAAUCCAAC
rnacentral:lncRNA from 1 species